AGAUUGAACGCUGGCGGCAUGCCUUACACAUGCAAGUCGAACGGUAACAGCACUUCGGUGGCUGACGAGUGGCGAACGGGUGAGUAAUACAUCGGAACGUGCCCGAUCGUGGGGGAUAACUACUCGAAAGAGUGGCUAAUACCGCAUACGAUCUACGGAUGAAAGCGGGGGAUCGCAAGACCUCGCGCGGACGGAGCGGCCGAUGGGCAGAUUAGGUAGUUGGUGGGAUAAAAGCUUACCAAGCCGACGAUCUGUAGCUGGUCUGAGAGGACGACCAGCCACACUGGGACUGAGACACGGCCCAGACUCCUACGGGAGGCAGCAGUGGGAAUUUUGGACAAUGGGCGAAAGCCUGAUCCAGCAAUGCCGCGUGCAGGAUGAAGGCCUUCGGUUGUAAACUGCUUUUGUACGGAACGAAAAGUCUUCGUCUAAUACAGAGGCUUAGUGACGGUACCGUAAGAAUAAGCACGCUAACUACGUGCCAGCAGCCGCGUAACG
rnacentral:rRNA from 1 species